rnacentral:rRNA from 1 species
GGGUUAGUCGGAUCCUAAGGUGAGGGUGAAAGCCGUAACCGAUGGAAAACAGGUUAAUAUUCCUGUACUUGUUGUGUAGCGCGAUGGAGGGACGCAGGAAGAUAGGCGGGCCGGGUGUUGGAUAUCCCGGUGCAAGCGUGUAGGAAUAUCCGGUAGGCAAAUCCGCCGGACGAAUCUGAGACGCGAGUCCGUGGGCGCAAGCCCUGAAGCCGUUGAGUCUAUGCUGCCUAGAAAAGCUCCUAAGUUUAUCCACAGCAAUCCGUACCGCAAACCAACUCAGGUGGGUGGGAUGAAUAAUCCAAGGCGCUCGAGAGAACUCUGGCCAAGGAACUCGGCAAAAUAACCCCGUAACUUCGGAAGAAGGGGUGCUCUCUAGGGUGACAUGUUUAACAUAUGAAGCCCCGGGGAGCCGCAGUGAAUUGGUGGUGGCGACUGUUUACUAAAAACAUAGGUCUGUGCGAAGUCCUAAAGACGACGUAUACGGACUGACGCCUGCCCGGUGCUGGAAGGUUAAAAGGAGGGGUCAGCGCAAGCAAAGCUCCGAAUUGAAGCCCCAGUAAACGGCGGCCGUAACUAUAACGGUCCUAAGGUAGCGAAAUUCCUUGUCGGGUAAGUUCCGACCUGCACGAAUGGCGUAACGAUCUCCACACUGUCUCGGCCAGAGACUCGGUGAAAUUGCAGUCGCGGUGAAAAUUCCGUGUACCCGCAGAAAGACGGAAAGACCCUGUGCACCUUUACUAUAGCUUGACAUUGGAUUUUGGGCCUGCAUGUGUAGGAUAGGUGGGAGGCUGUGAACCCUGUACGCCAGUAUGGGGGGAGCCAUCCUUGAAAUACCACCCUUGCAUGUUUAAGAUCCUAACUUCUUCCGGUUAUCCCGGAGAAAGACAGUGUCUGGCGGGUAGUUUGACUGGGGCGGUCGCCUCCUAAAGUGUAACGGAGGCAUGCAAAGGUUCCCUCAGCCUGAUCGGAAACCAGGCGCUGAGUGCAAACGCAUAAGGGAGCUUGACUGUAAGAGAGACAUCUCGAACAGGAACGAAAGUUGGCGUUAGUGAUCCGGUGGUCCCGUAUGGAAGGGCCAUCGCUCAUUGGAUAAAAGGUACGCCGGGGAUAACAGGCUGAUCGCAUCCAAGAGUUCACAUCGACGAUGCGGUUUGGCACCUCGAUGUCGGCUCAUCACAUCCUGGGGCUGAAGCAGGUCCCAAGGGUACGGCUGUUCGCCGUUUAAAGUGGUACGCGAGCUGGGUUUAAAACGUCGUGAGACAGUUUGGUCCCUAUCUUCUGUGGGCGAAGGAGAAUUGAGAGGGCCUGUCCCUAGUACGAGAGGACCGGGAUGGACGCACCCCUGGUGAUCCUGUUGUCGCGCCAGCGGCAUAGCAGGGUAGCUAUGUGCGGAAGGGAUAACCGCUGAAAGCAUCUAAGCGGGAAGCCUGCCUCAAGAUAAGUUCUCCCCUCGAAAGAGCUGAAGGGCCCGGGUAGACUACCCGGUCGAUAGGCUGGAGGUGUAAGCGCGGCGACGUGCUCAGCUGACCAGUACUAAUAGCCCGAGCGGCUUAUUU